UACGUAGGGUGCAAGCGUUGUCCGGAAUUAUUGGGCGUAAAGAGCUCGUAGGCGGUUUGUCGCGUCUGCUGUGAAAACCCGAGGCUCAACCUCGGGCCUGCAGUGGGUACGGGCAGACUAGAGUGCGGUAGGGGAGAUUGGAAUUCCUGGUGUAGCGGUGGAAUGCGCAGAUAUCAGGAGAACACCAAUGGCGAAGGCAGAUCUCUGGGCCGUAACUGACGCUGAGGAGCGAAAGCAUGGGGAGCGAACAGG
rnacentral:rRNA from 1 species